rfam:Schistosoma mansoni strain Puerto Rico chromosome 2, complete genome
GCACUGCUGAGGAGUCCCAUAAUAGGACGAACCGGCCGUCCAGUGC